CCUACGGGGGGCAGCAGUGAGGAAUAUUGGUCAAUGGGCGAGAGCCUGAACCAGCCAAGUCGCGUGAGGGAGUACUGUCCUAUGGGUUGUAAACCUCUUUUGUCGGGGAGCAAAGGCCGGGCGUGUUCGCCUGUGAGAGUACCCGAAGAAAAAGCAUCGGCUAACUCCGUGCCAGCAGCCGCGGUAAUACGGAGGAUGCGAGCGUUAUCCGGAUUUAUUGGGUUUAAAGGGUGCGCAGGCGGAAUUUUAAGUCAGCGGUCAAAUCGUGGGGCUCAACCCCAUCCAGCCGUUGAAACUGGGGGUCUAGAGUGGGCGAGAAGUAUGCGGAAUGCGUGGUGUAGCGGUGAAAUGCAUAGAUAUCACGCAGAACCCCGAUUGCGAAGGCAGCAUACCGGUGCACAACUGACGCUGAGGCACGAAAGCGUGGGUAUCGAACAGGAUUAGAUACCCCUGUAGUC
rnacentral:rRNA from 1 species